GCAUUGGUGGUUCAGUGGUAGAAUUCUCACCUGCCAUGCGAGAGACCAGGAUCCGAUUCUCAGCCAAUGCA
rfam:Danio rerio chromosome 4, GRCz11 reference primary assembly.